rnacentral:rRNA from 1 species
UACGUAGGGCGCGAGCGUUGUCCGGAAUUAUUGGGCGUAAAGAGCUCGUAGGCGGCCUGUCGCGUCCGCUGUGAAAUCCCGGGGCUUAACCCCGAGCCUGCAUACGAUACGGGCAGACUUGAGUUCGGCAGGGGAGACUGGAAUUCCUGGUGUAGCGGUGAAAUGCGCAGAUAUCAGGAGGAACACCGGUGGCGAAGGCGGGUCUCUGGGCCGAUACUGACGCUGAGGAGCGAAAGCGUGGGGAGCGAACAGG